rnacentral:rRNA from 1 species
GGGAUUGCCUCAGUAACUGCGAGUGAAGUGGCAAAAGCUCAAAUUUGAAAUCCGGUACCAGUGGUGCCCGAGUUGUAAUUUGGAGAGACAAAUUUUGUCGAUGGCACCGGCCUAGGUUCCUUGGAACAGGACAACAUAGAGGGUGAGAAUCCCGUGCCUGGCUGGACUGCUGUUGCGCCGAUAAAUUGUCUUCGACGAGUCGAGUUGUUUGGGAAUGCAGCUCAAAAUGGGUGGUAAAUGUCAUCUAAAGCUAAAUAUUGGCGAGAGACCGAUAGCGCACAAGUAGAGUGAUCGAAAGAUGAAAAGCACUUUGAAAAGAGAGUCAAAAAGUACGUGAAAUUGCUGAAAGGGAAGCGCUUGAGACCAGACUCGAGCCGUGGUGAUCAGCUGUGCUUCUGUACGGUGUCACUCGUCACGGUUUGGGCCAGCAUCGGUUCUGGCGGCCGGAUAAAAGGUGGGGGAAUGUAGCUUCCUCUGGGGAGUGUUAUAGUCCCCAUCAAAAUGCGGCCAGCUGGGACUGAGGACCGCGCUUCAGGGCUAGGAUGCUGGCGUAAUGGUCUUAAGCGACCCGUCUUGAAACACGGACCAAGGAGUCUAACAUCUAUGCGAGUGUUCGGGUGGAAAACCCUUGCGCGUAAUGAAAGUGAAUGGAGGUGGGAACCUGGAAGGGUGCACCAUCGACCGAUCCCGAUGUCUUCGGAAGGAUUUGAGUAGGAGCAUAGCUGUUGGGACCCGAAAGAUGGUGAACUAUGCCUGAAUAGGGUGAAGCCAGAGGAAACUCUGGUGGAGGCUCGCAGCGGUUCUGACGUGCAAAUCGAUCGUCAAAUUUGGG